AACGAACGCUGGCGGCAUGCCUAACACAUGCAAGUCGAACGAGACCUUCGGGUCUAGUGGCGCACGGGUGCGUAACGCGUGGGAACCUGCCCUUAGGUUCGGAAUAACUCCCCGAAAGGGGUGCUAAUACCGGAUAAUGUCUUCGGACCAAAGAUUUAUCGCCUUUGUAUGGGCCCUCGUUGGAUUAGCUUGUUGGUAGGGUAAAAGCCUACCAAGGCGACGAUCCAUAGCUGGUCUGAGAGGAUGAUCAGCCACACUGGGACUGAGACACGGCCCAGACUCCUACGGGAGGCAGCAGUGGGGAAUAUUGGAAAAUGGGCGAAAGACUGAUACAGCAAUGCAGCGUGAGUGAUGAAGGCCUUAGGGUUGUAAAGAUCUUUUACCCGGGAUGAUAAUGACAGUACCGGGAGAAUAAGCUCCGGCUAACUCCGUG
rnacentral:rRNA from 1 species